GACGAACGCUGGCGGCGUGCUUAACUCAUGCAAGUCGAACGGAAAGGCCCUGCUUUUGUGGGGUGCUCGAGUGGCGAACGGGUGAGUAACACGUGAGUAACCUGCCCUUGACUUUGGGAUAACUUCAGGAAACUUGGGCUAAUACCGGAUAGGAGCUCCUGCUUCAUGGUGGGGGUUGGAAAGUUUCGGCGGUUGGGGAUGGACUCGCGGCUUAUCAGCUUGUUGGUGGGGUAGUGGCUUACCAAGGCUUUGACGGGUAGCCGGCCUGAGAGGGUGACCGGCCACAUUGGGACUGAGAUACGGCCCAGACUCCUACGGGAGGCAGCAGUGGGGAAUAUUGCACAAUGGGCGGAAGCCUGAUGCAGCAACGCCGCGUGCGGGAUGACGGCCUUCGGGUUGUAAACCGCUUUCGCCUGUGACGAAGCGUGAGUGACGGUAAUGGGUAAAGAAGCACCGGCUAACUACGUG
rnacentral:rRNA from 1 species